ensembl:lncRNA
AGGGUCUUGAGGUCAGUUCUCAGAAGACAAGAAUAUGAGGAGGUGCUAGGAGGAGCCUUCGGGGUGAUAGCGGUGCAAUGGCAAGGAGAGGAAUGUCCAUCAGCAUCAAGGUUUCUCAGGAGGCAGAGCACUGUGUGCCCUCAUUUCCCCCUGAAGCCCUACAGGACGUUGCCCUGUAGCAAUGCUUCACACAGACCGCUCCUGGACUGGCACUACAGCCCUGCAGAGAGCUUGGCUGGAGAAACACAGCCCUGAUCAGCCUAUCCAUGGCCUCGUGGAUGGAGGACAGGAGCCCAACCUGCUGCUACUGGACUUGCUUCGGGGCUGCCCCAAUGCCUCCCUUUCCAUCCCAGAGCACCAGAGGAAUUUCCCACCCUCCUCAACGCGUUGGCAGGGGACCCUGUGGAUUUUGAACUUUUCUGUAGAGCAUUAAGCAGGGAUUACAGAGCGGGAUCAAGGGUGUCUCUCUCCUCUCUGCCCUGCAGCAAAGCAGCAGCUGGGGCCUCGCUGGCCUGUGUGUGCAUCAUGACAUUCCUGCCAUAAUCAUGGGUGCAUGACCUCCUCCAGGGCAAUCUGUUGUUUUUCUCUUCCUGGUUCUCCUCCACCACAUUUACUGAAGGAGCUUUUGCUGACUGUUGCAAAGCAGAGGAUGUGUGCAUCCAGAGGGCCAGAACUUGCACUUUUAGGGCAUGUAAGCCCAUCCCAACACCUCCCAUAAGGCCAAGGCAGCAUCCCCUUGCUGCUGGGUGGCUGCAUCCCGCUGGUCCAGCUUCAGGGUUAACAGAAGCGAGCUUUGCUCACUGCUGUUACAAACCAGACAAGCCAGGGCACACAUCCACGGGACUCUCGGCCUUUCAGCUUCACUGCCCUCCUUUGUGUGCUGUCCGUUCAGACAAAGCUGGUCCCUCCCAGCGCCAGCAUAAAUGGGAGCUGGGCACGGCUGCAAGCCAAAGAGGGGGGAAUCAUAGAAGGGCUUCAGUGCAGCAUCAGCCACGGCUGCUUCCAGGCUCCAUCCAGAUCCAUGUGCUCUUUGGGGUUUGGGAGAGGUUUUGCUGAUGAAAUUGGGAUACAUGCAAGCUCCUCGGCAGUCUCGGAUCAUUGGUCAGAGCACUGCUCUGGGAAAGUCUGAGAAGUGGUGUGGGGAGGGCUGAAGUGCUGUGGGAAGGUCUGAGCUGGUCCAGGAGGGAUUCUUGAAGGCUGGGGCAGCUUCUCCAUUCAUUCCUGCUUCAAAAACAAUGCCCAGGAGUGGGCAGGAGAAGCAGUGCAAAGGUGGAGGAGCGUCCACACUGCUGAAUCACAUACAGAGGUGAUAAUGCUGUCACCAUGUCACACCGAGGGGACAGGGGAUUUCAGGAAUGAGCCACACAUCAAGCAGUGCCCCAUGCUUGCUGCAUCCUCUACAGGGAAACGAGAUGCACCUGGGUUGGGGCAAUCCCAAACAGAAAUACAGGCUGAGUGACAAGGGGAUGGAGAGCCGGACCAAGGAUGGUCAAGCACUUGGCCAAGCACUGGCACAGCUGCCCAGGGAAGUGGCAGAGUCACCAUCCCUGCAGGUGUUCCAGAACCAUGGAGAUGUGGCACAU